AAGUCGUAACAAGGUUUCCGUAGGUGAACCUGCGGAAGGAUCAUUAACGAAUUGUAAAGGGGAAUUGAUGCUGGCAUCCUUCUAAGGGUGCAUUGUGCUCGUUCCCCACAAUCCAUCCUUAACACCUGUGCAUCUGGAAAGGAGUGGAAACUAUCCCUCCUUUUCUCUAAUAUCCACUAAGCUUCACAUAAUGAACGUGUAAAAGUGCCUAACGGCCAUUAAUCAAAUACAACUUUUAACAACGGAUCUCUUGGCUCUC
rnacentral:misc_RNA from 1 species